rnacentral:rRNA from 1 species
AUUGAACGCUGGCGGCAGGCCUAACACAUGCAAGUCGAGCGGCAGCGGAAGGAAGCUUGCUUCCUUGCCGGCGAGCGGCGGACGGGUGAGUAAGGUAUGGGGAUCUGGCCGAAGGCGGGGGAUAACCACUGGAAACGGUGGCUAAUACCGCAUAAUCUCUAAGGAGCAAAGUGGGGGACCGUUCAGGCCUCACACCUUCGGACGAACCCAUAUGAGAUUAGCCAGUAGGUGGGGUAAUGGCUCACCUAGGCGACGAUCUCUAGCUGGUCUGAGGGGAUGAUAAGCCACACUGGGACUGAGACACGGCCCAGACUCCUACGGGAGGCAGCAGUGGGGAAUAUUGCACAAUGGGCGCAAGCCUGAUGCAGCCAUGCCGCGUGUAUGAAGAAGGCCUUCGGGUUGUAAAGUACUUUCAGUCGUGAGGAAGGUGUUAAGGUUAAUAACCUUAGCAAUUGACGUUAGCGACAGAAGAAGCACCGGCUAACUCCGUGCCAGCCGCCGCCGUAA